ensembl:lncRNA
AUCAAAUGCUAGAAGAAACUGAAAAGACUGGAGGCAUCUAUUAGUAUUUUGUGUGUGUAAAUACUGCAAGUGUUAGUUGUUGUGUCUGACUUCAGUCUGUUGGUUUAUUUCAGGGGGAGCAGGGCCUAACCGGGGAAAAAGGGAGACAGGGGCUGAAGGGAGAGCAGGUGAUAUACAGUAUUUAGAUGUGCAUGUAAAUGUACAAUGAGACUGUUGGCAUGUAGAAUAAAGAAUCAUUUCUGCCUCUUUUUAGGGGGAUAUUGGCCCAACAGGUCAAAGAGGGACCCCAGGUCUACCAGGGAUGCCGGGCCUGUUUGGAGAAAAGGGUUUAAAAGGAUAUCCAGGACUUACUGGUCCUAAAGGAAAGAGUGGACCUCCUGGUCCACCAGGUCUUCCAGGUCCACCGGGCUUAUCUCUGAACCUAACACUGACUCAGCUAAAAGUAGGAAGCUGAUAAGUGAUUUUAGAAUAUUUCGAAUGUUGCUUAGAAUCCAUUCAUUGUAUAACACAUUUAAUCAGGUGUU